rnacentral:rRNA from 1 species
UACGAAGGAUCCAAGCGUUAUCCGGAUUUAUUGGGUUUAAAGGGUGCGUAGGCGGGCUAUUAAGUCAGUGGUGAAAGCCCCAAGCUUAACUUGGGAAUUGCCAUUGAUACUGAUGGUCUUGAGUACACUUGAAGUGGGCGGAAUGUGUCAUGUAGCGGUGAAAUGCUUAGAUAUGACACAGAACACCGAUUGCGAAGGCAGCUCACUAAAUUGUAACUGACGCUGAGGCACGAAAGCGUGGGGAGCGAACAGG